AUUCCAUUCUCCAGCCAGUGGAACUUUAGAAGCGGAUUAUUACAGUAUAUGCCAAGUAGGACAGAGUCUGAAACUUCGCUUAAAUCAAAACGGAUUACUUCUCUGACUUUCUCUAAGCAAUAACAGAUUUGUCACUUGGCUACUGAAAGGACUUUGAUUAGUUGGAUAUGAUGAUUUUUGUGUGUGUGUGAAGCUGGCAGCCUUUAUUAGAGAUUCAAUUUUAAGAGAUUUAAAACGAAAAGUUUCAAGUAGAAAACACUAUGAAUUCUAUCGUUUUAAAAGAACAACUUCUCACACUAAAUAAAACUAUUUCUAAAUUCCUAAAUUGACUAUUUUGGUUACUUUAAGACAUCUUUUUUUCAUUUCAGGAGAAUUCCUUCACUAGAUGCUUAGUGUUACAGUCUUUUCUGACGAUCAUUAAAAGAAGGAAAAUUCAAUGAUAGUUUAGUGGUACAGUUGACUCUGUUUCUGUAUCAGAAAUAAUUUGCCCGUAUGAACUCAUAACGCCAGUCUUACUCAUUUGCUCAGAUGCAUUCUUCAACAUAUCUAUCUUUAUUUUCUAGCACCACGUGAGACAAGGAGUUGCUAGUUUAGCAGGUCUCUUUGUCUCCAUGCCUGUGACAAGGAUGAAUUACCUGACUCUGUGCCAGGGAGAAGACUCCAGCUCACUUAGCAGCCUCUUUGCCCUUGGAUUCUCACAUAGUGACAUCACUGAGAAGCAGCUGCCUCAAGGAAGUCGUGAAGGAGGACUUUUACAAGUGGAUUGAUGUUUGACUAAAUCAGACUCUGGACUGUGCUGCCAAUUUUCACUGCCUACUCACUGUGGGGGCUGUGGAGUAAUUCUAACAAAAAAGACUGUCUACUAAAAAGUAAGGUUACCGAAAAUGUUAUGAAAAAUUGGUAAUACAUUAGAAAAAAACCCUGAGUGUAAUGCAUUUUUCACUGAAGAAGAGAGAAAUGUCUCCGUUAGUCUGGUAAAGGAAAAUAGCUCUGGAUGUGGAAUCAGAAAUCUGGACCCACACCUAAGCUGUGCCUUCCCCUGGCCAGAAUCUUAAGUUAUUCAGCUGCCUUGAAAGUUGGUUUUCUAAUCAACAAAAUGUCACAAUAAUGCCUAGCUCACAGGAUUAUGAUGAGCAAAUGUGUGUGAAAAAAAAAUAAGCUGGUGUCUGAGACCAACUGGAUAAUGUUAGUAUCUUUGUUAUUUAGUGGAAAUUAAUUACUUAACCUGUUUUAAUUGCUUAAAAAGCUACAGUGUUAAUUAAUUUAAUUGCUUGAAAAGCAAUUGUUAAAUUGUUA
rnacentral:lncRNA from 1 species